CCUACGGGAGGCAGCAGUGAGGAAUAUUGGUCAAUGGGCGCGAGCCUGAACCAGCCAAGUAGCGUGAAGGAUGACUGCCCUACGGGUUGUAAACUUCUUUUAUAAAGGAAUAAAGUGAGGCACGUGUGCCUUUUUGUAUGUACGUUAUGAAUAAGGAUCGUCUAACUCCGUUCCAGCAGCCGCGGUAAUACGGAGGAUCCGAGCGUUGUCCGGAUUUAUUGGGGUUAAAGGGUGCGUAGGCGGAAUGCCACUUCAGUGGUAAAAUCGCGGGGUUCAGCCGCGCUUCGCCGUUGAAACUGGUGUUCUUGAGUGGAGGAGAAGUAUGCGGAAUUCGAGGUGUAGCGGUGAAAUGCAUAGAUAUCACGCAGAACACCGAUUGCGAAGGCAGCAUACCGGCGCGCAACUGACGCUGAAGCACGAAAGCGUGGGUAUCGAACAGGAUUAGAUACCCCUGUAGUC
rnacentral:rRNA from 1 species